GUGCUCACUUUGGCAGCACACAUACUAAAAUUGGAAUGAUACAGAGAUUAGCAUGGCCCCUGCACAAGGAUGACAUGCAAAUUUGUGGAGCUUCUACAUUUUUA